GAUGAACGCUAGCGGCAGGCCUAAUACGUGCAAGUCGAACGGUGUAGCAAUACACAGUGGCGCACGGGUGCGUAACACGUAUGCAACCUACCUUACAUUGGGGGAUAGCCUUUCGAAAGGGAGAUUAAUACCGCAUAAGACAGUAACUAGGCAUCUAGUAGCUGUUAAAGAUUUAUCGAUGUAAGCUGGGCAUGCGUCCAAUUAGUUAGUUGGCGAGGUAAUGGCUCACCAAGACGAUGAUUGGUAGGGGAACUGAGAGGUCAAUCCCCCACACUGGCACUGAGAUACGGGCCAGACUCCUACGGGAGGCAGCAGUAGGGAAUAUUGGGCAAUGGGCGCAGGCCUGACCCAGCCAUGCCGCGUGCAGGAAGAAGGCGUUAUGCGUUGUAAACUGCUUUUAUACAGGAAGAAACGACCCUUGCGAGGGGCAUUGACGGUACUGUAUGAAUAAGCACCGGCUAACUCCGUGCCAGCCGCCGCCGUAACAC
rnacentral:rRNA from 1 species